CCAGCCCAGUUCCGCUCCCUCCAAGACGGUGCGCUGCACCCUGGACCAACCUCCAUGUCAGAGAUACAACUGGAAUUCACAUUAGGACAGGACUUUUGCCAAACUUUGAGGGAGACUCACGUGUGUAGACCAAAAGCCAGACUGGGAUAUCCUGGAUGGCUUCCUGUGAUGUCACAGUCCCAAAGACUACAUUUCCCAGAAGUCUGUACGAACGAAUUCCCAGAAUCAGGGAUGAAGAUGAUGAAAAACAUCUGCCACACUCUUCACACUUGUAAGGAUUGUCUUCAGAGUGAAUUGCUUGAUGUCGGCGAAGAGAUGAAGAUAAGUAAAAACAUUUGCUACACUCGUCACACUUGUAUGAUUUCUCUCCAGUAUGAAUCGUCUGAUGUUCUUGAAGGUUUGUAAAGUAGGAAAACCUUUUGCCACACUCUGCACACUUGUAGGGAUUGUCUUCGGAAUGGAUUGCUUGAUGUCGUCUAAGGGAUGAAGAUGAGCAAAAACAUUUGGCACACAACUCACACUUGUGUGGUUUCUCACCAGUAUGGACUGUCUGAUGUUCUUGAAGGCGUGCAAAGGAGGAAAACCUUUUGCCACACUCUGCACACUUGUAGGGAUUGUCUUCAGAAUGGAUUGUUUGAUGUCGAAUAAGGGAUGAAGAUGAACAAAAACACUUGCCACAUUCUUCACACUUGUAGGCUUUCUCUGCAGUGUGAACUGCCCUGUUCCCAAUGAGGAAAGCAGGUUUACUAAAUCCCUGUGCACUCAUUUCACACUGAUAAAAUUUUUCUGCAAUAUGAACUCUCAUGUGUCUCCAACAGGCUGAGUAUUUACGAAAGGCUUUGUGACAUUCUUCACACUUGUAUGGUUUCUCUCCACUAUGAAUUCUUUGAUGUACCUGAAGGCGUAGAGAAUAAGAAAACCUUUUUCCACAUUCUUCACACUUGUAGGGCUUCUCUCCAGAAUGAAUUCUUUGAUGUUGCUUCAGCAUUGAAGGAUAGUAAAAUGAUUUGCCACAUUCUUCACA